UACGUAGGUGGCAAGCGUUGUCCGGAUUUACUGGGCGUAAAGGGCGUGCAGGCGGUCUGUUAAGUCUAGGGUGAAAGCUCCCGGCUCAACUGGGAGAGGUCCUUGGAUACUGGCGGACUUGAGGGAGGCAGAGGAAAGUGGAAUUCCCGGUGUAGUGGUGAUAUGCGUAGAUAUCGGGAGGAACACCGGUGGCGAAGGCGGUUCUCUGGGCCUUACCUGACGCUGAGGAGCGAAAGCGUGGGGAGCGAACAGG
rnacentral:rRNA from 1 species